CACACAUCAAAAGAAGUUCCCAUCCUGUGAAGCCUCUGGCAUGCACCACAUGUGUGUAACAAUAGCUCUGCCUGGGCGGUCCUCUAGCUGAGGGGUGGCACCAAAUCCCAGAUAACAUUGAGUCUCAAUUUACAAUGUAUGAGCUUUUUUGUUGUUUGUUUAUUUCUUCAUUUAUUCUCCACAGUAGCCCUCAAGGGUUGACAAGAGAGCCAUCUAAUUUCUCAAAAUGGACAGGGGAGAAAUAUAUUGUGAAAUAUGUGGGGACGAGACAGAAAUCAAACAAGAAAAGAAAUACACAGUGUAAUUUCAGGAAAAAAAAAGUGAGAAAAGAACGUAAGAGCUCUGUGGAACACACUGGAACACAGCUCUAUCAAGCACAUAACUGGAAUCCCAAAAGGAGAAGAAGGAGAAAACAAGACUCUGAAGAGAGUCCAAGCAGAACAAGGGGACAGAAGGUGAUGGUGAGGUGACAGAGCCAGAAGGUCAAAGUAGAUUGAAUCACCGAGUUGCAACAUGAUGACAGUUACCCUCAUGAGUCAUGCAGACUCUCAGUAGACUUUAAGAGAGAAAAAAACCUUUGUGCUAUUAAUAAACCAAUCCUAAUAUCA